rnacentral:lncRNA from 1 species
UUCCUUGCCCGGAGGCCAGAGCUCACGCCCAUCCCCUGUGCCUACACAGCAGGCAGCUCUCUGGCCUCUACUUCCUCUUCACAGCCAUCCCUAACUUGUUUGCUGCGCCCCAGACCAUUCAGUCUUGUCUUCACCCUUUAGAAUUUCUCUGGUUCCUGACGUACACAAGGGAUUGGUCAGAGGGAUGCACCAGAAGAAAUCCUACCACACAGAAGUUUUCUGUAAAAAAAAACGAGAUGGUGAAAUUUGAAUGCAGAAGUAACUGAUCUGUUCUGAACUUAUAAUGAUGAAAUAAUGGAACAGGAAAGAGGAUUCUGACUCCGGUGUUGAGGAAUGAGGCCCAGGAUCUGAAUUUUAGAUCUCAUGGAAAAUACUAACAUUACCUUCAGCCAUGUCUCCUUACACCCCUCUUGGCUGUGACUUUCUCAGACCUUGCUUGCUUUUGAAGGCCUUGACAGUUUUGAGCAGUACGAGUCAGCACCAUGCAAGGGUUCUCAAAGUGUUGUCCUUGAACCAGCAGUAGCAGCUGCAUCACCUAGGGACAGAUCUCUCUGGUUCCAGUUUCUCUUCUGUUUUCAAAGUGAUAUGCUGAAGAGGAAGGCACAUUAUCGGGAAGUCCUGAAGAUGCACCAGUAGAAGCUGACUGAGA